GAGAGGAUGGUUAGCCCAGUCCAAGGGUUAAACACACCAAAAUAUUCCAUGAUUCAAAUUAUGAGCCAAAUUUGUUAGUCAUGGGGUGAGCAACUAGGAAGCUCUUGGUUGAGCUUAACGGUCAAAUUCUUCAGCCUAUCGUUGAACUCCAAUGCUAUGUUAUUGAAUCUGGCAACACAAUCAUUCCCACCAGCAAUAUUUGUGGUUCUUUCCAGUGGCAAGCAUCCCAUGGGAGGUAACCCUCCUAGGGAUAUCUUCCUAGCACCAAGUUCAUAGAGGCUCCUUAUGAAGUUCUCAGCUAUUCCAGCAAGAAAAAUUUGGUACUGUUGGGGUGUGAAUUGGGAUGCUCUACCAGGCAUGGUGUAGUAGUUCUCAAGAAAGUCAUUUGUGCCAAGACUGGUAAGGUGUAAUGCAUCAGUUAUGGUCUCUUUUGCCUUGCUUUCACCAAGAUAGGCACUCAAAUUCUUUUGGUAUCCCUUGUA
rnacentral:sRNA from 1 species